GAACGCCGUAUGAGGGGAAACUCUCACGUACGGUGUGGGACGGGGGAAAAACAGGAGAUUGUAUCAAAUGUUUACCUAUCGUCAU
rnacentral:ncRNA from 1 species